rnacentral:lncRNA from 1 species
GGGCAGUUACAAGGAGACACGGAGACACAGAGACACAAAGACAGACACACAAAAAAGAGACUGUCAUGUGAAAAGACAGACACACAGAGAGAACAUCGUAAGAAGACAGAGGAGGAGAUUGGAGAGAAGCAACUGUAAGCCAAGGAACACCAAAGACUGCAGGAAACCCCAAAAACUAGGAACAGGGCAUGGAACAGAUUCUACCCAUAUUCUCAGGAAGAGUCCCUGCCAACACCUGGAAUUCAAGCUUCUGGAUUCCAGAUCUGUGAGUGCUUCUCAAAAUUUAACAUGCAUAUGAAUCAUCUAGGGAUUUUGUUAAAAUACAAGUCCUGCCUGGAUUGUUCAGGGGUGAGGUGCACGGAAUCUGCAUUUCUAAUGAACUCUGAGGUUGAGCUGAUGUAGCUGCAAGGAUUCGAUCUGCAGAUCUACAGUGUCCAAUAUGGUAGCCACUAGCCACGUGUGGUUAAUUAAAUUUAAUAAAUUUAAGAAAAAACCUGGGCUUAGAUAAUGAUUACGCCAAACCACUGGAUUCAAGAAAAAGCUCGUCAUGCCCAACUAUUGCAUGACAGUAUGUGAGAGCCAACCGACUAAAGAUAUUUUAGGAGAAUAAAAUAUUUGGAGAGCAUUGGAGUAAGGACUGUCAUUCCUGGAAUGGAAGCAUUUAAUUAAAAUGACCAUAAGCCUGAAGUGACUGGGGCAUGGGAAUAUCCUUGAUGAGAAGAUAGUGAAGCAUGUAACACCCUGGGAUAGAUGGUGCUGAUGGAACAUUUUGAGGAGACCCAAGUUGUUGGUGGAGGUGAUGGGAGACUCAGGACAACAGAAAGUAUGGGAUUUUCAAUGCUGCAGAAAUGGGGCUGAUAUGGUUUGGCUCUGUCCCCACCCAAAUAUCACCUUGAACUGUAGCUCCCAUAAUUCCCAUGUGUGGUGGGAGGGACCCAGUGGGAGGUAAUUGAAUCAUGGGGGCUGGUUUCUCCCAUGCUAUUCUCAUGAUAGUGAGUAAGUCUCACGAGAUCUGAUGGUUUUAUAAAGGGGAGUUUCCCUACACAAAUUCUGUCUUGCCUGCUGCCAUGUAAGACGUGACUUUGCUCCUUAUUCACCUUCUGCUGCGAUUGUGAUGCCACCCCCAGCCAUGAGUGAGCCAAACUCACUGUUACUGUGAGUCAAUUAAACCUCUUUCCUUUAUAAAUUACUCAGUCUCAGAUAUGUCUUUAUUAGUAGCAUGAGAACGGACUAAUACAGGGGCUCUGUUCUGACUAGGACAGAAAUUUAACACUUGGCAUCACAGAAUGGCCCCAACCUGAGCUAGCAGUGGGUGAAUGGUCAGCUCACAGUACAAGCUGCUUUUGGUAAACGUCUUGCAGACUGCAACCAGCCUAAAGCUAAAAUCACAGUAAAUAAGCAUGAGCGGAUAUAAAAGAGAGAUGAUAGAUUUGUGAUUUGUUGACAUAACCACCAGGACAUCUGUAUCACAAGUGAAAAUUAUAGCCUGAUUCCCAGAUGCUGACCGCC